AAGGGAGACCUAAUUCAGGUAUGGGACGAAAAAAAAGUAGUCGCUACCAAGAAUCAAUCCCAAAAGGUCGGAGCGAGGUAUGGGGCUUUCAAACUAGGUUCUGGGUUCAAACAAGACCUGAAUCAGGAACAAGGGCUAUUAGCUCAGGUGGUUAGAGCGCACCCCUGAUAAGGGUGAGGUCCCUGGUUCGAGUCCAGGAUGGCCCACCUGCACAGGUGGCAAAAACAAGAGAAGCGAGGAAUCAGCACCUUAUCUUAUCUAUAUAUAAGAGAGAAUGCUGGCUCUGAGUAAAGAGUCCAGAGGAACCUUGAAAACUGCAUAGAGCUAGGUGAAAAAGCCAAAAAAGAAGACCGCAA
rnacentral:tRNA from 1 species